ACCCUACCUUUCCUUUUCAAGUGACAAUAAGUAAGAAGAAGGGCUAAUUAUAUAAGAGCUAUAGAAACAGUAAUCAUGAGUGUUCAGGAAGAAAAACAAAGUUAAUAUUCAAUUAGAUGAUAAAUAAUUGCUACAUUUCUGGUGUAUUUCUCCUCAUGGAGAAUUUACACUUUGAAAUAUAUUAAUAUGUAGUCAAAAGGAAAGUGGUAGAGAGAGAAACAAGAGGUUAAAUUUACUAAUCAGCAGUAGUUAGUCUGAAGCUAUAUACUUGACUGUCAAUCGCACAACUUCUCUGCCUUUUCCUGCCCUAAGCAACCAGCCAAUCAGGAGCUGUGUGCUGUCUGACAGUUCUGAAAGCAUGAUCUGCUACCAGGGUAACUAUAGAAACAAACUGCACUGGAGCAAGGAGGAGAGAGGAAGGGAGGAGAAAAGGGAGAGUGAAAAUUGAAGGAGAGCACAUUGAUUUUCUAAGUUUGUUCUGUCAUCCAGCCUACCACAAUGGCAUCCAUCGAGCAGAAGGCAGGGUUACCAAGCCAUAACACCACACAUGAGCAGAUACUCAAGGAAGAAGAGAUGUUAGAGAAAGUUCAGGAUUUUGUUAAACUGCUCAAAAGCUGGGAACAUGGCCAUGCUAUGUGUCUGCACCUGUUAGCACAGGAGGACAGAUGCUUUGAACGAGCCAGAAAGAGGCAACAGGCAGAAAUGAAGGAGGAGCUACACUAUGCUAACAAGCAGCUGAUGAUGGUGAGGACUAAGAAUAAUUUUGUCUUCAUAUUUACUGUUUUGGACUCAAUGAUCCUCAGGGUUUCUUCCAGCUCAAAAGCUGUAUAAGAGACAAUGACCGAGUCUCUAAUUCUUCUGGCCUUCCAAAAACUUUAAGGUCCAUUACAUCUUUAUUUAUAUUUAUUUUAUUUAUUUUAUUUAUAUCCUGCCUAUCUAGUCGGUUAAGACCACUCUAGGCGGCUUACAAGAAACAUACAGCAAUAUAUAUAAAAACAAUACUACAUAAAGAAAGAACAUUCAAUAAAAUAGGACAAAGAGUGGGAGAGGAGAGGAAG
rnacentral:lncRNA from 1 species